rnacentral:rRNA from 1 species
GACGAACGCUGGCGGCGCGCCUAACACAUGCAAGUCGAACGAGCGAGAGAGAGCUUGCUUUCUCAAGCGAGUGGCGAACGGGUGAGUAACGCGUGAGGAACCUGCCUCAAAGAGGGGGACAACAGUUGGAAACGACUGCUAAUACCGCAUAAGCCCACUACCCGGCAUCGGGUAGAGGGAAAAGGAGCAAUCCGCUUUGAGAUGGCCUCGCGUCCGAUUAGCUAGUUGGUGAGGUAACGGCCCACCAAGGCGACGAUCGGUAGCCGGACUGAGAGGUUGAACGGCCACAUUGGGACUGAGACACGGCCCAGACUCCUACGGGAGGCAGCAGUGGGGAAUAUUGCACAAUGGGGGAAACCCUGAUGCAGCGACGCCGCGUGGAGGAAGAAGGUCUUCGGAUUGUAAACUCCUGUUGUUGAGGAAGAUAAUGACGGUACUCAACAAGGAAGUGACGGCUAACUACGUG